UACGUAGGGUGCAAGCGUUGUCCGGAAUUAUUGGGCGUAAAGAGCUCGUAGGCGGUCUGUCGCGUCGGCUGUGAAAACCUGGGGCUCAACUCCGGGCCUGCAGCCGAUACGGCUGACUAGAAUUCGGUAGGGGAGACUGGAAUUCCUGGUGUAGCGGUGAAAUGCGCAGAUAUCAGGAGGAACACCGGUGGCGAAGGCGGGUCUCUGGGCCGAUGACUGACGCUGAGGCACGAAAGCGUGGGGAGCAAACAGG
rnacentral:rRNA from 1 species